CUUUUUCUGGUAACAGCCUGAGAAAUCAGGCUGCUGGCUGGUGAUUUUAUAGUCACCAGCCU
rnacentral:sRNA from 2 species